AUGAGAAAGUCACAGGGGAUUCCUGUUUCAGGAAAUCCUCAGGGAAAAAAAGAACAACAUCAGAGAGAAUACGCUCAGUCCCUUUGUCAUCAGAAGGUGCAUGGAAAUGAAAUGAUGCUUCCUUUGACUGCUGAGAUAGUCUUUGAAUUUUGCAGUUCCAAUUCUCAGAAGACAACGAUCAGAAAUAACUUUGGAGAGGGACCUGAGAAAAGUCUAGCGGAACGUCGGAAACUAUUUGGAUAUUCUCUGAAUAGAAGAGAGCAGUCUUCAGCCAUUGUUGAUGAUCUCCAGGGAAAAAAUGGUAAAUUUCUGAGAAGUGUCCACUCCAGUAACUCUUCCAGUGACUGCUUCUAUGAUAUCUUUAACAUUAUGUGCUUUUUUUUAUCAUUAUGCUACCCAUUGGUUCCUCCUCUCCUGCAUGUCCGUUCUUCUCUACCCAAUUUUUGGAUAUGA
rnacentral:lncRNA from 1 species